UUAGAUGAAGUGGCCAAAGAAAUGUCCGACUUUGGCUUUAUAAUUAGGAAGGAAGUUGGAGCAUCUAUGGGAAUAAAGAAUAGUUGGAGGGAGACGGACUCCUUUGUAUUGAAAUCAGAAAUUAUAGGAAGAGAUGAUGAUAAGGAGAGGAUCAUAGAAUCAUUGAUGUGUCCAGUCAAUCAAACCAAUAUUUCUGUAGUUGCGAUUGUUGGGUUUGGUGGCUUGGGAAAGACUGCACUUGCCCAAUUAGUGUUUAAUGAUGAGAAAGUGAUGAAUUAUUUUGAUUUGAAGUUAUGGGUAUGUGUUUCUGAGGAGUCAAAUGUUGAAACACUAGUUAAACUCAUCCUUAAAAGUGCAAGCAAUAAUGAAGUUCCCAACUUGUCUUUGGAACAGUUACAGAUUCGCCUUAGACAAUGUUUAGAAGGCAAAAAGUACUUGUUGGUGUUGGAUGAUGUGUGGAAUGUAAACAAUAGGAUUUGGAGUCACUUGAGGAAAUAUUUGAUGGUUGGUGCCAUAGGGAGUAGAAUUUUAGUAACUAGUCGUAGUAAGGGGGUUGCUUUAGCUAUGGGUGUAGACUCUCCAUACCCUUUAAAGGGUCUAACCGAAGAUCAAUCAUGGGAGCUAUUUGAGAAGCUAGCAUUUAGAGAGGGAACAGGAAGGGCGAAUUCAAAUCUAAUAGAAAUUGGAAAAGAAAUGGCAAAGAAAUGCAAAGGAGUUCCACUUGCAAUUAAAGCUAUAGGAGGCAUAAUGCAACUAAGAAGUAGUGAAAGUGAAUGGUUGUCUGUCCUAGAAAAUGAGUUGUGGAAGGUCUACGAGAGUGAUGGUGAUAUUAGUCAAGUGUUGAAAUUGAGUUAUGAUGUCUUACCGUACCAUUUAAAGCAGUGUUUUGCAUACUGCGCAAUGUUUCCAAAAGAUUAUCAUUUUGGUAAGGAUAGAUUAAUUCAGUUGUGGAUGGCACAAGGCUAUGUUCAAUCUCAAAGUCAAAGUGAAAAUGAAAAUUUAGAGGAGAUUGGGGAAGGAUACUUGAAUGAAUUGUUAUUUAGGUCAUUUUUCCAAAAGGAUGAGUAUUGUUAUAAAAUGCAUGACCUUAUCCAUGACCUUGCACAGUCAAUAGCAGGGGAUAGUUGUUUUGCAGUUGAUGAUAAUACUAAACAUAUUCCUGAUAGAGUCCAACAUGUGUUCUCUGGAAGUUUGUCUUUUGAGGAAUGCUUCAGGCAGCUAAAAAAUAAAGGACUGAGGACACUGUAUUAUCCAUAUUUUGGUGAUGGAUUAAGCUUGAAUUUAGAUAAUAUUUUUUUAAAUUGUAGGAGCAUGCGUGCUUUGAGUUUUAGAUGGAAUAUCAAUGGAUUGCCAGAUUCAAUUGGAAAGUUGAAACACCUGAGGUACCUUGAAUUGUUUAGAAAUACUAAAAUCAGUUCACUUCCAAACUGCAUUUGCAGCUCGUAUAAUUUGCAAACUCUAAUACUGUUGGAAUGUCGGGUUCUUAAAGAAUUACCUACAGACAUGAGGAAAUUGAUUUGUCUCGGACAACUUAUUAAUAAGGGUUGUAGUAGCCUUGAAUUCAUGCCAUUGGGGUUGGGGAGAUUGACAAAUCUGCAGACUUUGUCAACUUUUGUUGUGGGAAGUGAUCAAGGAAGGAGAUGUUCCUCAUUGAAUGAGUUGAAUAGCUUAAACCGGCUAAGAGGUAAAAUCUCCAUUAAAGGACUAGAAAAUGUGAAAAAUGCAGCUUUGGAGUCCAGCCGAGUAAAUCUCAAGGAAAAGAAAUACCUUCUCUGCUUAAGAUUAAGGUGGGAUGGCAAGGGAGAUAGCAAUAGUGGAAAUAGUGAGUUGUUGUUGGAUAACCUACACCCUCACCCGAACUUGAAAGAAUUGAACGUUAUGUUCUAUGAAGGUGUGAGGUUUUCAAAUUGGCUUUCUUCUAUAUCUAAUCUCGUCAAUAUUACUUUAUAUAAAUGUCCGAAAUGUGAGCAUUUGCCGCCAUUGGACAAUCUGCCUUAUCUGGAAAUUCUCAAUCUUAGCUAUUUCGAUUCUCUGGAGUACAUAUCAGAUGAAGAUAAUUUAUUCUCUUCUUUAUCUGCAUCAGCAGCAACAUUCUUUCCAUCUCUAAAGAUUCUUAAACUCGAAGUUUGCCCUAAUCUGAAAGGGUGGUGGAGAACAUUUAUGGAAGCAAAGAUGGUGCCUCAAUUUCCUUGUCUUUCUAAAUUAACCAUCGCGAAUUGCCGUAACCUGACUGUGAUGCCAACGUUUCCAUCAGUAGACAUGGAGCUUCAUCUUGCCUAUGCCCACAUAAGACCAUUGCAUUAUACAUUGCAGAUGUCUGCAACGGCUUCUGGAGUACCAUCAACCUCUUCUUUAGUUACUUCUCCUUUUUCCAAAUUAAAGACUUUGUGGUUACAGGGUUUUGAGAAUCUAGCAUCUCUACCUGGAGAGUGGAUGCAGAACCUCAGCUUCCUUGAGGAACUAUUUCUUAGCAACUGCAUGGAAAUUAGUGAUGAGGAUGAGCGUGGCAUAUCCAAAUGGAGAUAUCUUGUUAGUCUCCGAGAUCUCUCUCUCUAUAAUCUUUCAAAUCUGGUGUCUCUACCAAGGGAGCUUCAAUAUGUUACCACCUUGCAACGUCUCACUAUCUACGACUGUUCUAAUUUGAGGGCUUUGCCUGACUGGAUAGGCAACCUCACAGCACUCGAAAAUCUACAUAUCGAUGGCUGCCCUAAACUGGAAUCGCUACCAAGAGGAAUGCAUCAAAUAACUACUUUACAACAAUUUAGUGUUCGCCGUUGCGCCCAUUUGUCUGAAAGAUGCGGACACGAUACGGCUGCAGAUUGGCCCAACAUUUCUCACAUCCCAAAUAUCCGCAUAAAUGGAAAUGAUAUUCAAAAGGAGGGCCGGUAUUUACUGUAAGAAGAAGGAUCCUCUGCUUUCACAGGUUAGGACUUUCUUCGCUUCAUCCCUUUUUUUUAUUUUUUUAUAUAUAUAUAUAUAUUUUAUUUUAAAUGAAAUCACCUAAUUUUUUUCAAACAAAUACUUCUAUCCAGUAGGCUACUCCAUUCUGUCUUCACCUUAAUUUAAGUUAACUUACUUUUCUGAUUCUAUAUGCAGAGAUGCUGGAAUAUAUGUUGCUCUUAUAUGCCGCCAACCUUUUUCAAAUUUUAGAAUGGCUCUUAUGAUGACAGGUGGAUAACAAAACUAAAAAAUCAAAGACUAUGUUAUUUCUAUCAGUAAAUCACAUUGGAAGCAAUGGGAAUUUGCAUUGUGUAUCUAAAAGUCAAUUGCUCUGCAACUUACGUUGCAUCGUCGCUACUCCUUUGAGAAUGGAGAAGCAAGCCACUCAAAGCAAGGUCUAGGAUCAGAGCAGCAGAUCCUGGAGCCUCAAGGACUGGUAUCUUUCAAGAGUCAACAAGUGUGGUUCUGUGAUAUAAGCAGGGUUGGAAGGAUUUUAAUACCUGGUAUAUUUGCAAUCAUUGUUCUAUCCUGAUAGUGAAUUUUCUGAAUUUAAUUGCAAUAUGUUCAUGUGUUAAUCCUUGCAGGUUACCUAGAAUGCAAGUCAUUUUAAGCAAAGGUUGAGAUCAUUUUUAAUUUGUUGUUUUAUAAUAAUUUGAAAUUUUUGAAGCUUAUCAAAGCAUCUUCGGAUUUGGUCUCUCCUGAAUUAUUUGAGAACAAGAUAGUGGAUGCCAUGAAAUUCCAGAUUCUUUGAGAAUGAGUAGAGGGGAUAGUGGGUGCUAUGAAUUCACUGGUUCUUCUUUCAGAGUAGGCAGCUUUUGACUCAGCCGUGAAGAAAUGGUCUGCUGUUAUGACGAAAAAUGGCUUCAGAAUAGGCAAUGGUAAAUAUCAUAUGACCUUGUGAAUAGUGGUUUAAAAUCAAUGUAGAAGAUUUUGGAAGAGAACUAAUGCUCUCUGACAGAUUUACACGUGAAGAUGGUAAUGAUACUUGCAAACUCAGUGCGCUUCUGAAAGAAGAUGAAUUGGUUGUGUGGGAGGAAGAAUCCUUAAGUUUUUUAAUCUUUCAUUGAGGGGACAGACAUCGUUUAAGGUUGCAAAUCUAAGAGCUGCUCUUUUCUUGUUCUUUUCACAAGUGUCUUCAUUAGUGAGCAUCCAUAAAAAGUAGUGAGCUAUUUCACUUGUGGCAACUACCAAUGAGAAACCUUUAUUAAAAUAUAAGGAGUAAAUUGUAAUUUACUUGUAAGUUUAAUAUGGGUGCAAUUGGCAGCUCAGUACCAUGUUUCCACUCUACCUCUUUGGAUUUGUGUUGUGAAAUGUAAGAUUACUUUAAACUUUGGUAGGCUGGCAAUAGCCAAUCAGCUAUGAAACCUUCCCUCAAGAAAUUCAUAAAAGUUGUGAAAUUUGAUUUUGAAGCCCUUUUUCUCCUUACCGGGAGUAGAAUAUAAAAUAUUUUAAAUUUAUUCGGAUAUAUUUAUUAUUAAAUUAAGUCUAUAAAUUUAAAAUUUAGAGAUAAAAGUUAUUUUUUAAUAAAUGAGUUGAUAAAAUAUAUUAAUUUUUUUUUAAUGAUGACCGUUCAAUUUCUCUAAUUUUCUUUAAAUAUCUAUUAAUGAAAAAAAGAAAAUAUAAAAAAUUUCCACAAAAUUGAUAUAAAUUUUUUUAAUCAUCCCAAAUAUAUUUUUUAAGAAAAUAAUUUAUUUUUAUAAUGUUAAAAAAUAAAGGGAUAAUAUGAUUUUUAAAAAUCAUAUUGUUUUUUAAAAAGUGAAAUUUUUUCUUUAAAAAUUAUUUAGAUUUUUUUUAUUAAUUUUGAGUCUUCAAAUGCUAAAAAAAUGCAAAAAAAAUAUUUUAUUGGAAAAAUGUUUUUUUUUCAAAACAAAUGAGCUUGACUUUGGUGUAUGUUAGAGCUGCUAUAUUAAAAAGGUAGCUCAUUAAAUAUGUUGGUUAGGAAUUAUUAAAAAUUAUUUAUUAAAUUAAUUUAAUAUAUUCUAAUCAUAAAAAUAUCAUAAUAAAUAAAUAAAGUUUCAAACUACAUUCUUUAAGAAAAUCUAAAAUAGUAAAUAUAUAGUAAAUUUUCAAUCACAAUCCUAAAUGUUUUCAUAUUUAAAUCACAAUCCUAAAUGUAUUUGCCUGUAAUAAUGGUGAUGUUAUAUAGCUAAAAGCUAAUUAGACAUGAUGUUAUCAUAAAAUAAUAUCACUUGGUGAGGGUUCAAUAAGUUAAUAUAUAGUUUCACUCAUUUCAAGUGAAAAUUCGAAUGUUACAAACAUUCAUUUUUUAAUAAGAAAUGUUACAUUUUUCUGAAUAAGUCGAAUUUUUAUAUAAAAUUACAAUUAACAUACACAAUUUAGUAAAUCUCUAUAACGCCUCUAAUUAUAGAAUUACUGAUCAAUGAGCUGAAAAAUUUUUUUAUCAAUGAGUCGGCUAUACCAUUGCCAGAUUUUAAAAAAUAUUAUAAUUGACUAUAUUUUCUUACAAAUAUAACAAUUAAUGAUAAAAAAAAUAAAAAUAUUUAAUUCUUAUAUAAUUACUCUUGAAUUCUAAGUAUUUGUUUAUAUUCAUCAUAUUCUCUAAGUUUAUUGAUUCAGUAAUUACCGUAGGCGUCAAUCACCCACAUUAUUUUUCUUGUAAAUUUAAUUCAUUACUGUAUAGCUCUAUUUUUCAAUUAUAUCAAAUGGUCUGUCUUGCUUAUUAAAAAAAUUAUGAAAUACAGUUUAAUUUUCUUUAGCAAAACUAUUUAAAGGUAAAUUAUAUUUUGAUUUUUAUAUUUUAACAUAAUUAACAGAUCAUUUCUAUAUUUUUAAAACUGAAUACUUAAAUUUAUCUAUAAUCAGUUUGUCCAAAUUUGAGAUCUCUCCAUUUAUUUAUUUAUUUUUUUUAAAUUGGAGGUUGGGGGAUUCGAACCUGAAAUCUUCUCAGAUUUACUCGGAUGCACUUACCACCAGGCUAAGCCUGUGAGUGUCUCUCUAUUUAAUUUUACAGUUAAAAGUGUAAAAAUAUCUUUAUUACUCUCUUUAAAUGGAUAAACUACACUUAAAUUUUUAAAUUUUAGCAAAAUUAAUGAAUCGAUUUCUAUAUUUUUGAAAUCGUACAUAUUAAAUCCCUCUAUAAUCAGUUCAUCCUCAUCUAUUAUAAUUUAAACAUUUUGAUCCUUCAUUUUUAUUUGAAAUAACACUAAAGUUCUCAUUAACUUUUAUUUAUAAUAUCUCAUUUAACUAAAUUUUAGCAUUUUUUUCUUUAAUUUUCAUUCAUUAAAAUAUUUUAAUAUUUAUAUUUUCAAAUUUUUUUAAAAAUACUUACAAUUUCAGCUAUUUUAAAUAGGUUAUAAACUUUAUAAAGAGUAUUUUAAGAAUCAAUCAUACUUUUAGAAAAAAUUUAACCAUCUACUAACUUUGAACUAAUAUUUAUAAUUGAUAGAAUAACUGUAAUUUUAGACGAAUUAAAUAUAUAGAGAUUUAAGAAUUUAAUUUAAAAAUUAUAAAGACUUAUUUAUCAAUUAUAUUAAAAUUUAAAAAUCAAAAUAUAAUUAUACAAUAUAAAAUUCUCACUUAUAUUAAAAAUAAUUUAAGUGUUUAUAUAAACAUUUUAAGUAUUUGAAAUAUUUAUUUUUUCUUUAAUCAGUUGAAUAAUGAAAUUAUAAAUGAAAAUAUUUUUUACUUAGAUAAAAUAAUUAUAUAAAAUUUUAAAUUGUAAAUUGAAAUUAAUCUAUUAAUUAUAUUAAAAUUUAAAAAUUAAAGUGUAAUUUUUUUAAAAUUUAAAUUAAAAUAUGUUGCUUUUAGGUAGCAGGCGGUGAUGGCGCGGACUUGCUUUGGAGCUCCGUUUGGGCCGCUAUUUUGUCUGAAUGGCUUAGGCAUGUGGCUACUGGCCUGUCCAAUUCCCUAUCUAACAUAAAUUAAAUAGUAAUAGUAAUUUUUCUCUCAUAUUUAAAUGGGAGAUAAUUUAAUCUUGAUUAUUGCUAUUAUUAAUAAAUUAUUUUUAUAUUUUCAAAAAUUUAUUGAAAUAUCUUUAAUUUUUAUCUUUCGUUAAUAAAAUAGUUAUUUUAUCAUUUUUUUCGUUAAAAAUAAAUAAAAUAUAAGAGAAAAUUUUUAAAAUCCAAUUUUACUCUUAAAUAAAACUCUUUAUUUAAUCAUUAAAUAUUACUAUUAUUAACAAGUCAGUCUCUACAUUUUUAAAAAUCUAUUAAAACGUUAUUAUCUUUUCUUAUAUCUAUUAAAAUAUUCUUAGCGUUUCUUUUUAUUAAUGAAAUAAUCUUUAUUUUUUCUCACAUCUAUUAAAACGUCCUUAUUGUUUACUUCCGUCAACAAAAUAGUCCUUACUUAUCAUUUCUUUCCUCAAUAAAAUAGUCCAUCCCUAUAUUUUCAUAAAUUGAUUAAAAUGUCGUUAUCUUUUUUCAUAUUUAUCAAAACGUCUUUAUUGUUUCUUUCCGUUAACGAAAUAAUCCUUAUAUUUUUUUCACAUCUAUUAAAAUGUUCUUAUCGUUUCUUUCCGUCAACAAAAUAGUCUCUCAUCUUCCUCUUUCUCUUCCUCCUCAAAAAAACAAGAAAAAAAAUGAAGAAAAAAAGAAGAUAAUGAUAAAGAAUAAGAAAAAGAAUAAAAAAUAAAGAAGAAGAAAAAGAAAAAUGAGAAGAAGACGAUGAUGAUGAAGAAAAAGAAUAAAAGGAAAAAUUACUUUCUCCUUUUUAAAAAAGAAGAAUAAAAAGAAAAAUUAAAAUAGAAUCAAAAAAGAAAAAGAAAAAGAAGAAGAAUAAGAAGAAGAAGAUAAAGAACCGAUGAAGAAGAAGGAGAAGGAGGAAGACAAGAGGGAUAAUUUGAUUUUUUAUUAUAUUUUUAAUGGUAAAAAUAAAUGAAAUGAUUAUUUUAUUGAUAAAUAGAAAAGAUAAUGACGUUUUAAUAAGUUUCUAAAAUUGUAGGGAGUAAUAUCCAAAAAUUAAAUUAUAAAUCAACCUAAUUAAAUUAAUCAUAUUAAUAUGUCAAAAAUAAAUCAAAUGAAUUAUUAGAUUUUUAAGUAUGAAAUAUACAUAAUAAAUUAAUAAUUUAAAUAAACAAGAUACCAAAUUUUGAAUUUUAAACUAAACUAGUUUAUUUUUUUUUUAAAAAAUAUUAUUUUCAUUUCUCAUUUCUCUUUUAUAUAAUAUUAAAAAAUUAUUAUUUAAUUUUUAUAAUAUAAAAAAUUAUAAAUUAAUUUUUUUAAUUUAAAAAAUAUAAUAAAAUAUUUUAAAUAUUUUACUAAUUAAUUCUUCUAUUAACAUUUGUAAUAGAGAUAAAUUAAUUAAUAAUUUUUUUAAAAAUAUAAAAAAUUAAUUAAUUAAUUUUUUAAAAUUAUAAAAAUUAAAUAAUAAAAUUUUUAAAAAUAAAAAUUAAUAAAAUAAAUAAUCAGUAAAUAUUUUUAAAAUAUUAUAAUAUUUAUAUAUUUUUUUUAAAAUUAAAAAAUUUCUUUAUAGUAUAAAGAAUAAAUACUAAUUUUUGCAGUAAUAUUUUGUGAUUUUAAUUUGGCAUUGACUCGAUCAUGAAGUCUUUGUCUUUGUCGGUACUAAAUACAUAAAUUCUAAUUUAAUUUAUUUUAAUUUUAGUUUGUUUGGUGUGGGUCUGUGCACACAUCUCUGGUGUCCAUAAAGUCUCCAUAAAUACUCUCCGAGUCAGAUGUGACUCUGCCUGAACAGCCCUUAAAGCUUUAUAAUAAAAAUCAUACUAAAUUAAAUUUGUUUUUAUUUUAUUUUAUUUUUUAUUUUUUAUUAUUUUACUGAAAACCCAAUUAAAAUAGUAUUAAACUGGUAUCGUAUCCAAACUCACAUUAUAUACAUAUUUUUUAUAAUUUUUAUAUUAUAUAUAAUAAUUUAUAUUUUAAUUUUUAAUAUAAUGAUCAAAUCAAUUUUUAUAUUCUUAACAUAAAAAAUUUAAACUUCUCUAUAAUUCAUCCAUUCAAAUUAAAUAUUCUAUCAUUCAUCUCUUAUUAUUAAAAAUAUUAUUAUUCUUUUAAAUAAAUAAACUAAAUUUUAAUUCUUAAAUUUAAGUAUAAUUAUUUAAUUUAUUUUAUGUAACGACCCGGAAACCGGACCACUACCGGCGCUAGGAUCCAAAUCGGCUUAAGGCAGCCGGAACCCGUAGCAAGCCUAACAUGCAUCCUGAGAACCUGUAUAAUCUCAUACAUGAUCAACAAACAUACAUAAAAACUGUAAACUUUUUUCUUUUUCUUUUCAUACAUUCUUUCAUAUACCAAACUCAACCUGAUCAUACCAUAACUAUACAUUGAUCCCUCUGUGGGAUCUCAUCAAUGCCCCAAUGGGCUACAUACAUAUGUUGAGUUGGUUUACAUCUGUGACAUAAAACAUCUAGGAUCAUAUAAUAAAAGGGACAACAUCAUAGGGUCAAGCACAUCUCUAAACCUCAAUCAUCAUCAUCAUUACAUAACAUACUAUACAAUACUCUUACAUCAUAUUACAAUUUUCAUGUCCACUACCUAUCUAUUACAAGCAUAAAACAUUACUCUUCUUGACUUCUCUGUCUAGCCCGUACCUGCAAACCUGGGGUUAGGGGAGAGGGGUGAGCUAAAAAGCCCAGUGAGCAGAAUAGUAAAAAUAUUGAAUUUAUAUUUCAUGCCUUCAUGAAAUGCAACAUAGCACAAACAAAUCACAUCAAUGAUGAACUUGUCACCAAUAGUCCUCUACAUAAUCCAAACAUGCCAGGGGCGUAGAAUGGGCCUCACUGGUCUUUCUCUUAACAUAUCAUAUCAUACAUAUCAUUCCAUAGUGCCAGGGGCGUAGAAUGGGUCUCACUGGUCUUUCUCUUUCUCUGUGCCAGGGGCGUAGAAUGGGCCUCACUGGUCUUUCCAUACCGUAUCAUCAUCAUGCUAUAACAUAUGAGGACUAAAGGAUCAUUCAAUAUUCAUCCACAUCAUCAUCAAGUUAUACAAUGCAACAUAUUCGUGAUUCUAAUGCAAACAACCUAGUACAUCUCAUGGCAUACGUGAUGCAUGUAUCAUGCUCAACAUUUAUUUAUUAGUUUGAAACUUAAGAAGUUAUUCCACUCACCUCUGGCUAGCUCUGACCAGACACUGGGGCAGCUGACUCACUGCUGGGGUCCUCGGUUCCUCGGGUCCGAACCUACACAGGUGGACUCAAAUGAGGGACCAAACAUACUGAAACAUAACUCUAAACUACUCCCCAAAAACCCCCUAAAACAUCAUAAAACAUUAAUGCAAAAACAUGCAAGAAAUGGCUGAACAGGGCACUUUCGGCGGCAGGUUCGGCGGCCGAAAGUCCCUCCAAAGCCGAAAGUCAGGCAGGUUCGGCGGCACCUUCGGCGGCCGAAACUCCCAGACAGAGACGAAACUCAUGCAUGUUUGGGGGCACCUUCGGCGGCCGAAACUGCCCGACAGAGCCGAAACUCCUCUUUCGGGGGCAAGCUUCGGCAGCCGAAUGCUGCCUCCACAAGAGGGUUCGGCGGCCGAAAGUCCCCUUCGGCAGCCGAACCUGGUUUCUCCCAAAAGGGCAGAAACUCUGCUCAACAUGCACAAAUGCCUCCCAACUCCUCCAUCAUGCACAAACCUAUGCUACAACACUCCCAAACAUGCAUAUAAGCUCCUAGGGGCUCCAAACUAUCCUAAGCCCCAACUACAACACAACAAACAUGCAUAUCACAAGCCACAUUGUACAAAAUCAUGCAUAAAACCCAUAAACUCUACUUAAGCUUACUCAUGCAUUUCUACCCCAUGAACUUGCAUAAAACUUGUUUAAAACAUAAAAUGAACUUAAGAUCGGCUCUUACCUCUUGAAGAUCGAGAAUGAGUCGACUUAAACUCGGAGAUGGGAGAUCUUUAUCUUCCUUGGGUCUCCAAGCUCAAAACUUGCUUAAAAUCGUCAAAUACCUUCAAAUCGACAAAAACAUUGUUAAAAACGAAAGAUCUGAAGGAAAAGCAUUGAAAACAACCUUAGGAGGGCAUAAGCUCACCGUGGCCGAAAAUGGGGAGAAAACUCGCCCGUUUCGGCCAUGGAACUCAUAUAUAGGGGCUGCCAGACCACCUUUCGGCUGCCGAACGUGCCCCCACAUCUCAUGCAUGUUCGGCGGCCGAACAUGAGGUUCGGCGGCCGAACCUUUAAAACUUUCGGAAGCCUAACUUACCCUCCAAAACCAUCCCAUGUUCGGCGGCCGAACUUGGGGUUCGGCGGCGAAACCUGGAAAAGUCUCCUUAGUCUUUUUCAUACAAAACUCAGUUUCCUUUUUAUUUAAAAACAUUAAAUACAUGAAAAACAUUUGUGAAAACAUGAUUCUACCCUUCUAGAGGUCUCUGACAUCCAAAUUCCACCGGACGGUAGGAAUUCCAGUACCGGAAUCUAGCCGGAUAUUACAUUUUAAUAUUUUUAAAAUUAAACAUUUAAAUAUCUUUAUAAUUAAACUUUUCAUAUAUUUAUUUUUAUUAAAAAUAUAAAAAUAUUUUUAUUAUUUUUUAAAUUAAAAAUAUUAAUAAAUUAGAUUUCAUUCAUUUCACUCAUUUAUUAAAAUUUAAAUAGCUAAAUUUAUUUUUUAUUUUUUAUUUGAUAUAAUACUUAAAAUUAAAUUUUAUCUAAAUUAUCACAUUCAAUUAAUUUUUAAUAUUUUUACUAUUUAAUUUCUAUUCAUUAAAAUAUUUUAAUAUUAAAUAAUUUCAAAAUUUUUAAAAGUAUUUAUAAAUUUAAUAAUUUUUAAAUUGUAUUAUAUAUUUAUAAAUAAUAAACUUUACGCCGUAUUCUUAGAGAAAAAAAAUUAUAUUUUUAGAAAUUUGAUAAUAAAGUAGCUUUUAACUAAUAUAUAUAAUGUUUAAAAAAAUUGAAUAUAAAAAAUUUACAAUUUUAGUUUUAAAAAUAUAAGAUUAAUUUAUUAAUUAUAUUUAAAAUUUAGAUAUAAAAUUAUAAUUUAUGCCAUAUAAAUAAUUUUAUCUACAUUAUUAUAUUUAUUAAAUUAUUUUAAAUAUUUAUUUUUUAAUUUAUUAAUUGAUAUAUUUUUUAAAAUUAAUAAAUUUUUUAUAUAAAUAAAAACCUACAUAAUAUAUUAGAUUCAAAUCCCAACAAGUCAAGAUACGACUAACAAGAGAGAUGGGCCCGCUGGCUAUGGAUGAGUAAAGACUGGUGAAUACUGAAUAGAAGGGUAUGUAAGAGUUGACCGGCGAUGACUGCUUAUAGUUAUAUAAUUAAAUUAAGCGUGGGUAUUAAAUUUUUUUAUAUUAUUAUUAUAUAACAUUAUUUUAUAAAAUAAUAUUUUUUUAGUAUAAAUUUACUUCACUUGUUAAGAAAAAUAAAAUAUUUAUUUAAAAAUUUUAAAUUCAAAAUAAUAAUUAAAUACAAAUUUAUGCACUAUAAAUCUCAAUUGUAACAAAUAAAAUUAAAAAUUUCAAUAAAUAAUAUAUAUUAAUAAAUUUAUUCAACAAAUUAUAUUUUAAAAAAAAUAAAGUUUAUUAAAUUGAAUAAAUCUCAAUUAUAGCAAAUAAAGUUUAUAAAUGGAAUAGAGAAUGAAAGAAUUAUUUUAUUGAUAAGAAAAAAAUAUAAAAUAUUUUAAUAAAUUUUUAAAAAUUUAUGGACUGACUUAUUAAUAAUGAUAAUAUUUAAAAAUUAAAUUAUAAUUUUUUUAUAAUUAUUACACUUAUUAAUAAUAUAAAAUAAAAUAAAUUUCAUUUAAACAAUUAAGUUCAUUUUUCAUUUGAAAAAAUAUUUAAAUUCUCAUUAAACUUUGUUUAACCUAUCACAUUCAAUUAAUUACUAUUUAAUUUUUAUUUAUUAAAAUAUUUUAAUAUCAUAUAACUUCAAAAUUUAAAAAAAAAAUUAUAAAUUUAAUAUUUUUAAAUGGUAUCAAAUAUUUAUAGAUUAUAGACUUUAUACUAUAUUUUAAAAAAAAAUUAUAUUUUCAAAAGUUUGUUCAUUUAGUAAUUUUUAAUUAAUAUUUAUAAUAAAUAAAAAAAUUAUAAUUUUAGAUAAAUUAAAUAUAAAAAAUUUAAGAGUUUAAUUUUAAAAAAUAUAAAAAUUAAUCUAUUAAUUAUUAAAAUUUAAAUAUAAAAUUAUAAUUUAUAUAAUAUAAAAAAAUUUAUCCAUGUUACUUUAUUUAUUAAGUUAUUUUAACUUGUGAACUAAUAUGGAUAGAAAAAUAAUAGAACCACCUCUGAUUUGAGAGCAGAGAAUUAAUGGAGUUGACGAGCGAUGACUUGAUUGCAAUUUCCAGCCAAGGAAUUAAAUUGCUUUGUCCUUUGCUUUUAUAAAGUAAGGCCCAUUGCACGUCAAUAUUCUAAAUUUAUUUUAAAUAAAUUAAUAAUUUUUUUUUAAAUUAUAAAAAUUAAAUAAUAAAAUUUUUAAAAACAAAAAUUAAUAGAAUAAAUAAUCAGUAAAUAUUUUAAAAUAUUAUAAUAUUUUUAUAUAUUUUUUAAAAUUAAAAAAUUUCUUUAUAGCAUAAAGAAUAAAUAUUAAUUUUUAUUUUAAUUUGACAUUGACUCGAUCAUGAAAUUUUUGUUUUUAUCGGUACUAAAUACAUAAAUUAUAAUUUAAUUUAUUUUAAUUUUAGUUUGUUUGGUGUCAGUCAAUCGACACAUACAAAAUUUAAAAAUUUCACUCAUAUUAUUAUAUUUAUCAAAUUAUUUUAAAUGUUUAAAAUAUUUAUUUUUAAAUUUAUUAAUUAAUAUAAUUAUGGAUGUAAAAAAUCUCUAAAAUUAUAGAGGACCUCUGAUUUGAGAGCAGAAUAGAGAUAGGAAGCAGAGAAAUGAAGAACACAAGUGUGAGAGGGUGAAUAGAGGUUAGGUAGGAGUUGACGAGUGAUGACUUGAUUGCAAUUUGCAGAAAAAGAAUUAAAUUGCUUUGUCCUUUGCUUUUAUUUUUUAAUAAAUAAAAUCAAAAAUUUUAUAAAAUAGUAAUAAUAUUUUAAAGGGAGAUUUAUAAUUUAAUUUCUAGAUAUUAUUAUUAUUAAUAAAUCAAUAUUUAUAUUUUUAAAAAUUUAUUAAAAUAUUUUUAUAUUUUCUUUUUCGUCGAUAAAAUGGUCAUUCCGUCCUCUAUUAAAAUAUUUUUAUAUUUUCUUUUCCAUCAAUAAAAUAGUCAUUCCGUCCUCUUUUCCGUUAAAAUUAGAUAAAAGGUAAGAGAUAAAAUUUUUAAAUUCCAAUUUUAUCCUCAAAUAAAAUAUUUUAUUUAAUUCUUAUCGUUUCUUUUCGUCAACGAAAUAAUUCCUAUAUUUUUUACAUCUAUUAAAACGUUCUUAUCGUUUCUUUUCGUCAACGAAAUAGCUCUUCCUCUCUCGACCUUCUCCUCUCCACCUCCUCCUCCUUCCUCCUCUUCCUCCUCUUCCUCCUCCUCCUCAUUAUCAUCAUCAUUAAAAAAGAAAAAAAAAAGAAAAUGAUGAUGAUAAUGAUGAAGGAGAAGAAGAAAAAGAAGAAGGAGAAGGAGAAGAAGAAAAAGAAGAAGGAGAAGGAGAAGAAGCAGAAGUGAAGAAAAAGCAGAAGAAGCAGAAGUAGAAGUGAAGAAUCGAAAAAGAAAGAGGAAGAAUCGAUGAAGAAGAAAGAGGAGGAGAAAAAGGAAAAGAAGGAGGACAAUUUGGUCUUUUAAUAUAUUUUUAACUGCAAAAAUAAAUAGAAUGACUAUUUCGUUGACGGAUAAAAAAGAUAAGUACGUUUUAAUAGAUUUCUAAAAAUACAGAGACUUGACUGAUUAAUAAUGCCAAUAUCCAAGAACUAAAUUAUACAUCUCCCUAAUUUAAAUUUAAUAUAUCAUAUUUUCUUCCACACCUUAUAUAUAUUGGAUCAUUAAUUAUGGACUGCAUCAUCUCUCACAAAUCCUGAAAUUUUCCUUUAAUUUCUUCAUUUUCAUCUUUGCUCAUUUUCAGUUUUUUUCUUUCUAUCGAUGGCUGAACAAAUCCCAUUUAGCAUUGCGGAAAACUUACUAAUAAAGUUGGCCUCAAUUGCUUCUGAAGAAGUUAGUUUGGUGUAUGGCUUCAAAAAGGAUCUUAGGAAGCUUCAAACUACUCUCUCCACCAUCAAAGCAAUACUUGUGGAUGCUGAGGAGAAGCAAGAGGAGAGCCUUGCAGUGAAGAACUGGGUAAGGAGGCUUAGAGAGGUUGUCUAUGAUGCAGAUGACUUGUUCGAUGAUUUUGCAACUGAAGGUUUGAGAAGGAAGGCUGAAGGUGAGGGAAGAAUGGUUAGGAAGGUAUGCGACUUCUUUUCUUCCUCCAAUCAAAUUGCAUUUCGUUUCAAGAUGGGUCAUAGUAUUAAAGAUAUUAGAGAGAGGCUGGAUGAAAUCGCCAAAGAAAUAUCUGACUUUGGCUUUAUAAUUAGGAAGGAAGUUGGAGUAUGUAUGGGAAUAAAGAAUAGUUGGAGGGAGACAGAUUCCUUUGUAUUGAAAUCAGAAAUUGUAGGAAGAGAUGAAGAUAAGGAGAAGAUCAUAGAAUCAUUGAUGUGUCCAGUCAAUCAAAGCAAUAUUUCUGUAGUUGCAAUUGUAGGGUUUGGUGGCUUAGGAAAGACUGCACUUGCCCAAUUAGUGUUUAAUGAUGAGAAAGUGGUGAAUUAUUUUGAUUUGAAGUUAUGGGUAUGUGUUUCUGAGGAGUCAAAUGUUGAAACACUAGUUAAACUCAUCCUUAAAAGUGCAAGCAAUAAUGAAGUGCCCAACUUGUCUUUGGAACAGUUACAGAUUCGCCUUAGACAAUGUUUAGAAGGCAAAAAGUACUUGUUGGUGUUGGAUGAUGUGUGGAAUGUAAACAAUAGGAUUUGGAGUCACUUGAGGAAAUAUUUGAUGGUUGGUGCCAUUGGGAGUAGAAUUUUAGUAACUAGUCGUAGUAAGAGGGUUGCUUUAGCUAUGGGUGUAGACUCUCCAUAUGCUUUACAGGGUCUUACUGAAGAUCAAUCAUGGGAGCUAUUUGAGAAGCUAACAUUUAGAGAGGGAACAGGAAGAGUGAAUUCAAAUCUAAUAGAAAUUGGAAAAGAAAUGGCAAAGAAAUGCAAAGGAGUUCCACUUGCAAUUAAAGCUAUAGGAGGCAUAAUGCAACUAAGAAGUAGUGAAAGUGAAUGGUUGUCUGUCCUAGAAAAUGAGUUGUGGAAGGUAUUCGAGAGUGAUGGUGAUAUUAGUCAAGUGUUGAAAUUGAGUUAUGAUGUCUUACCAUACCAUUUAAAGCAGUGUUUUGCAUAUUGCGCAAUGUUUCCAAAAGAUUUUGCGUUUGUUAAGGAUAAAUUAAUUCAGUUGUGGAUGGCACAAGGCUAUGUUCAAUCUCAAAGUCAAAGUGAAAAUGAAAAUUUAGAGGAGAUUGGGGAAGGAUACUUCAAUGAAUUGUUAUUUAGGUCAUUUUUCCAAAAGGAUGAGUAUUGUUAUAAAAUGCAUGACCUUAUCCAUGACCUUGCACAGUCAAUAGCAGGGGAUAGUUGUUUUGCAGUUGAUGAUAAUACUAAACAUAUUCCUGAUAGAGUCCAACAUGUGUUCUCUGGAAAUUUGUCUUUUGAGGAAUGCUUCAGGCAGCUAAAAAAUAAAGGAUUGAGGACACUGUAUUGUCCAUAUAUUGGUGAUGGAUUAAGGUUGAAUUUAGAUAGUAUCUUUUCAAAUUGUAGGAGCAUACGUGCUUUGAGUUUUGGAUGGAAUAUCAAUGGAUUGCCAGAUUCAAUUGGAAAGUUGAAACACCUGAGGUAUCUUGAAUUUUUUAGUUCUAAUAUCAGUUCACUUCCAAACUGCAUUUGCAGCUUGUAUAAUUUGCAAACUCUAAUACUCUGGGAAUGUCGGAUUCUUAAAGAAUUACCUACAGACAUGAGGAAAUUGAUUUGUCUCGGACAACUUAUUAAUAAGGGUUGUGGUAGCCUUGAAUUCAUGCCAUUGGGGUUGGGGAGAUUGACAAAUCUGCAGACUUUGUCAACUUUUGUUGUGGGAAGUGAUCAAGGAAGGAGAUGUUCCUCAUUGAAUGAGUUGAAUAGCUUAAACCGGCUGCGAGGUGAAAUCUGCAUUAAAGGACUAGGAAAUGUGAAAAAUGCGGCUUUGGAGUCCAACCUAGUAAAUUUCAAGGAAAAGAAACACCUUCAGUGCUUAAGAUUAACCUGGGAUGGCAAGGGAUAUAGCAAUAGCGGAAAUAGUGAGUUGUUGUUGGAUAACCUACAACCUCACCCGAAUUUGAAAGAAUUGAAUGUUAUGUGCUAUGAAGGCGUGAGGUUUUCAAAUUGGCUUUCUUCUAUCACAAAUCUCGUCAAUAUUACUUUAUAUAAAUGUCCGAAAUGUGAGCAUUUGCCGCCAUUGGACAAUCUGCCUUAUCUGGAAAUUCUCAAUCUUAGCUAUUUCCAUUCUCUGGAGUACAUAUCAGAUGAAGAUAAUUUAUUCUCUUCUUUAUCUGCAUCAACAACAUCAUUCUUUCCAUCUCUAAAUAUUCUUAAACUCGAAUCUUGCCCUAAUCUGAAAGGGUGGUGGAGAACAUUUAUGGAAGCAAAGAUGGUGCCUCAAUUUCCUUGUCUUUCUACAUUAACCAUCUCUAAUUGCCCUAACCUGACUUUGAUGCCAAUGUUUCCAUCACUAGACAUGGGGCUUCAUCUUGCCUAUGCCCACAUAAGACCAUUCCAUUAUACAUUGCAGAUGUCUGCAACGGCUUCUGCAGUACCAUCAACCUCUUCUUCAGUUACUUCUCCUUUUUCCAAAUUAAAGACUUUGUGGUUACAGGGUAUUGAGAAUCUAGCAUCUCUACCUGGAGAGUGGAUGCAGAACCUCAGCUUCCUUGAGGAACUAUUUCUUAGCUACUGCAUGGAAAUUAGUGAUGAGGAUGAGCGUGGCAUAUUCAAAUGGAGAUAUCUUGUUAGUCUCCGAAAUCUCUCUCUCUCUAAUCUUUCAAAUCUGUUGUCUCUACCAAGGGAGCUUCAAUAUGUUACCACCUUGCAACGUCUUACUAUCCGCGAAUGUUCUAAUUUGAGGGCUUUGCCUGAAUGGAUAGGCAACCUCACAGCACUCCAAAAUCUAUGUAUCAAUGUCUGCCCUAAACUGGAAUCGCUACCAAGAGGGCUGCGUCAAAUCACCACUUUACAACAGUUGAAUGUUACCCUUUGCCCCCAUUUGUCUGAGAGAUGCACACACAAUAUGGCUGCAGAUUGGCCCAACAUUUCUCACAUCCUAAAUAUCCAUAUAAAUGGAAAUCAUAUUCAAAAGGAGGGCCGGUAUUUAUUGUAAGAAGAAGGAUCCUCUGCUUUCACAGGUUAGGACUUUCUUCGCUUCAUCCCUUCUUUUUUUUAUAUUUUAUUUUAAAUGAAAUCACCUAAUUUUUUCAAACAAAUACUUCUAUCCAGUAGGCUACUCUAUUCUGUCUUCACCUUAUCUAAGUUAACUUACUUUUCUGAUUCUAUAUGCAGAGAUGCUGGAAUAUAUGUUGCUCUUAUACACCGCCAACCUUUGUCAAAUUUUAGAAUGGCUCUAAUGAUGACAGGUGGAUAACAAAACUAAAAAAAUCAAAUACCAUGUUAUUUUUAUCAGUAAAUCACAUUUAUGAACUUUAUUUUUCUCACAGUUUCACCUUCUUGUUACCCUUUAGCAUCUGAAGAAUAUUUUAUCCUCAAUCAAAUACUAUGUUAUACAACUCUUGAUUCUUCCAAUUCUGAACACAAAUUAUGUCUGCAGGCAAUAGAAGCAAAUGAGGUUUGUGGUGUGGCAGAUGAUUUCUGGAUGUUGUAAUUGACUCAUUGACUAUUAUACAGGUUCUUAUCUCUUAACCAGUUUUUUGGGAUUUUAUAUUUUUUAAAAAAUUUUUGCCAUAUUUUAUUAUUCUUUUAAUAUUGCCGUAAUUUAGCAAUUACCUUUUUUAUUUUGUCUUAUAUGCAGAACUGGAAGGAUGUGGAUAACUUGAAUUAACUCUUGGAAUAGACAUUUGAAUUAAUUUUGCAUUUUUGGAAGCAAUGGGAAUUUGCAUUCUGUAUCUAAAAGUCAAUUGCUCUCCAACUUACUUUGCAUCGUCGCUACUCCUCUGAGAAUGGAGAAGCAAGCCACUCCAAGCAAGGUCUAGGAUCAGAGCAGCAGAUCCUGGAGCCUCAAGGACUGGUAUCUUUCAAGAGUCAACAAGUGUGGUUCUGUGAUAUAAGCAGGGCUUGAAGUAUGUUGAUACCUGGUAUAUUUGCAAUCAUUGUUCUAUCUUGAUAGUGAAUUUUCUGAAUUUAAUUGCAAUAUGUUCAUGUGUUAAUCCUUGCAGGCUACCAAGCAUGCAAUUGAUUUUAAGCAAAGGUUGGAUCUCGUGUUUAAUUUGUUGUUUUAUAAUAAUUUGAAUGUUUUGAAAGUUAUCAAAGCAUCUUCUGUUUUGGUCUCUCCUGAAUUGUUUGAAAAUAAAGUAAUGGCUCCAUGAAUUCCUAGAUUCUUUGAAAGUGAGAUGGAUCCCAAGUGUCUUAGAGGAGGAGUGGAGGAAAUAAUCGGUGCUGUGAAUUCACUUGUUCUUCUUUCAUAGUAGGCAGCUUUUGGCUCAGCCGUGGAGAAAUGGUCUGCUGUCGUGACAAAAAAUGGCUUCAGAAUAGGCAAUGGUAAAUAUCAUAUGACCUUGUGAAUAGUGGUUUAAAAACAAUUUAGAAGAUUUUGGAAGAGAACUAAUACUCUUUGACAGAUUUACAGGUGAAGAUGGUAAUGAUACUUGCAAAUUCAGUUUGCUUUGAAAGAAUAUGCAUUGGUUGUGGGGGAUGAAGAAUCCUGAACUUUUUUAAUCUUUCAUUGAGUGGACAGACAUCGUUUAAGGUUGCAAAUCUAAGAGCUGCUCUUUUCUUGUUCUUUUCACAAGUGUCUUCAUUAGUGAGCAUCCAUAAACAGUACUGAGCUAUUUCACUUGUGGCAACUACCAAUGAGAAAGCAGAAAGCUUAUACUCUCUCUAUCCAUGUGCUAAUCCUUGUAGGCAAUCAACAGAUACUGGAACCUCAACAACUUCCUCUGGGAGAACGAAGCAGAAAUUCUUAAAUUUUUGAAAGGUAUAAAAACAUUUUAUAACGAAAUAUCCAUUGAUUUAGUUUUUCACUGAGUGGACAAAUAUCUCUUAAGAUAGCAAAUUGAAGAGCUCCUUUUUUUUUCUUUUUCACAAGUGUCGUCAUUAUAGAGAUGUGCAUCCAUCAGAAGUCCUGGGCUAUUCACUUAUGGCGAACUGCCACUGAGAAAGCAGAAUGCUUCUUAUAGAAACAUGAUGGUAAAAGAAUCCAAACUUCCUCUCUCUCCUUAAGUACUUUCCACUUCAUUUUCUUAUAUGCCUCAGCUUUUAUUUUUAUAGGCUGAAAGAAUCGCAUACUUUUUCUGAUAUGUUGACUUGGAGCAGACAUUCAUUCUUGGAGUUCCAUUUAGUUGAACUCCUCCUCAUUGGAAGCUCUCCAAGGCCACACCAAAACCCCAGAAGGGCUUCAGCUCAUUACCGCUCUGCAAUUAAUGCCUCAGAAUUGGAAGCUGUCAGGCUUUGUUGUUCAUAUCCCUCUGAUUAGAAGAAUCAUGGUGGGGAGAUGGUUCUUUUUCUGAUUCUUCAAGUCUUCUCCUUCCAGAAACUAUUGGAACCAUUUCUGGACUAGAAAGGGAGAUGGUUGUCCCUGAAUUCUUACCAUUUCAUCACUUGCUAGUCUUGCUGAAGUUACACAUGCAUUCAUUAUGAGGGAAUUUCAUGGAGAUUCUGUAGAGCCAAAGCUGAACAUUUUAAUUCAGCUGCUCGUUCAUUGGCUAGAUGUCAUCUAGCUGGCUAGAAGUUCAAUUCUGAAGGCUUGGUUUAGCUAAUGUUUAGAUGUGCCAAUGAAGUGUAAAUUUCAGAUUUUCUUUUUUAAUGUAUUGUAUUUUCUUUACACCUCUAAAUAUAAUCAUUUACAAGUUGUCCCUUUAAAUUCAAUGCUCCAUUGAUUAUGAGUUUCAGAAGCUCAUCCUUUCCUUGAACCAAUAAUCAAGAUUCUGUCUCAGUCCAUUGCAAUAUCAGCGUCCAAUUUAAUGCCUAAUACUAAAUUCUCUUCAUAAAAAAAUAUUAUAGAUAUAAUGACUUAUUUACUCAUUUUAUAAAAUAUCAAAGACCAAAAUUAUUAUAGAUAUAGUGACUUAUUUAUAUUGUGAUAUAAAUAUAUAAAUAAGUCUAUAACAAAAUAUUAUGAAUUUUUUUUUUACUAUUUCAUAAUAGUACUAAUUUAUUAAUUUGAUAAUUUUUUAAAAUUAUAUCUAUUAUAAUCUAAUUAAUAAAUGUUAUAUAUUUUUAUUGAUAUGAUGUGAAUAAUUAUAUAGAAUAAAUAUAUAUAAUUAACUAAAAUUACUAUAAAAAAAUAUUAAUUAUGAUAAAACAUAAAACAAUUCAAAAAUUAUUAGAAUUACUGUAUAAAAUAUUAUCAAACUAAAAUUUUAUUUUAUUUAAAUAAUUUAUUAAAAAACUAUAUAAUAAAAAGUAAAAUAGGUUUUUAAUACAAUUAAAAUUACAAAUUUUUAACCGUCAAAUUAUUAAAUUUAAAUUAUUAUAGUUUAUUAUAUAAUAAUUGUAGUAAUUUUAAUCUCUUUUCUUUCUAUAAAAAUGUAAUCCUCAUAUGUCUAUCCUAUGUAAAAUCCAUUGGAACGAUCUUAAUUCUCCACACAAUUUUAUUUUAUUUAUUUUCAAAUGAUUAGUGUUUAAAAUUUUUUUUUUAUUAUUGUUUUCUUGGCAUGAGAUAUAUGGUUUACAAUCUUUCUGGUCAACUGAAUAAUUUUGGAUAGAUAGAAAUUGGAUGAGAGUAAUUUAAAUGUUAGAAUUCUUUGAUUCACAUGAUUCUCUUUUUAAAAAAUAUAAUUAUUUGAAUAAAAUUUAUUAUUGAAAAUUAAUAAUACAUGAUAAUAAAUACUAAGAUUUUUAAUUUAUUUAAUACAAUAAAAUUUGUUGAUGCAUGACUUUAUAGUUGAUUAAUAUUUGAAAUCUUUAAAUUUUUUACUUUAAAAUUAAAAAUCAUACAUAUUAAUUAAAUUUUUAAUUAUUUUCUACAAUUAUUUUCUUUGUUUUAUAAUAUAGUUGGCCUAUUUAACCAAUAGUUUUUUUUAUAUUAUUUUAGAUUUUAAGAGAUAAAAUAAUAUAUUAUAAUAUAAAUCAAUAAUUUCAUGUUCAAAAUCUAAAUAUAUAAAAAAAAUAUUUUACUACUCUUAAUAAUUGGAGUGAAUUCAUAAGAAAAAAAUAUUAUUUUAUAAAAUAAUUUUAUAUAAUAAUAAAUAAAAUAUUGUAAUACCUGCACAACAGACUAGUUUUUUUCUAAUAUUUCCUUUUGUUUUAUAAUGGAAUAAAAGCUCCCUUAGUAUCCUUGCCCACCAACUCAUCCCAAUCCCACCUAAAAAGAAAAGAAAAGAAAAGAAAAGAAAAGAAAGAAACAAACUAUAGGUAAAAAUAAUUCUAUCCGAAUUCGAUUAAUUCGAAUAUUAUUAAUAUUUAAAUUUAUUAUUUAAUAAAAAAUUAUUUUAAAUUAUUUAAAUUUAUUAUAAAUUUAAUUAUAAUUAUUUAAAUAAAAUUUUAUUCAUUUAAUUUUAUAUGUUUUAAUUACUAAUUUAUAUAAAAAUAUUUUUUAUUGAAAAAUUUAAUGUUUCUCAAAAAAAUUAAUUUUUAAAUAAAAACAUAUAAUAAAUUUUAUAAAUAUUAUUAUAAAAUAUAUAUUUAUAUUAAAUUAAUUAUUUAUAUAAAUAAGUUCGAUGAUUGAUACCUGGUAUUCUGAAAUUCAGAAAAUAGGAUUUAAAGUGGGUGUUUAAGUUUGACCGGAGAAGAAGGUGUUCAUCCCUUCUAUCUCUUUUUCUUUUGUCUGCUAGUAACGUCUAACCGCUUUUCUGCUACAGUGCAACCUGUUUCUAUCACUUAGAUCCGUAUAUACGAAUAUGUCAGACGGCCAUUUAGUUCUAUCGGGUGCGCAUACGCAUGCGGACGCGUGAAAUGAAUCAGGUCACUCACAAGUCUAGAUCCAGUAAAAAGAAGCUCAGCCUGAUGAGGUGACAAGAGGAAGGAUAGCGGCUCUAGUCACUUCACAACCUUGCCUGCGGAUGCGCCAAAAGACAUUAAAUGGUUGACUGGCAUAGAGGGAGCGUCUGACGCUUUUAUACGUACGAACAUGUGUUACAGGAGUAAGUGGCGCUAUAAUAGAGAUACCGUUAGAUAUCAUUAAAAGAUAAAGAGAAAAAGAAUAAGAGGAGAGGAACUCUCUCCUCUCCAACUAAGCUUACACCACUAUUAUAAACUCUAUUAUCUGAAUCUCAGAACAUCAACAAUUAAAAUUUAAUAAAUUUUAUUUUUUUAAAAAUAUAAUUGUAUGAAUAAAAUAUUAUAUUAAAAAUUAAUAAUACAUGAUAAUAAAUACUAAAAUUUUUAAUUUAUUUGAUACAAUGAAAUUUGUUGAUGCAUGGGUUUGUGAGGUUUUUGAAUUUUUUACUCUAAAAUUAGAAAUCAUACCUAUUUAUUGGAUUUCUAAUUAUUUUCUAAGGUUAUUUUCUUUGGUUAUUCUCUUUGUUUUAUGAUAUAGAUGGCAUAUUUAACUAAUAAUUUUUUUUAUAUUAUUUUGAAUUUCAAUAAAUAAAAUAAUAUAUUAUAGUAUAAAUUAAUAAUUUUAAAUUCGAAAUCUAAAUAUAAAAAAAAUAUUUUACUACUUUUAAUAAUCAGAGUAAAUACAUAAAAAAAUAUAUUAUUUUAUAAAAUAAUUUUAUAUUAUUUUAUAUACUAAUAAAUAAAAUAUUAUAAUAUCUACACACAACAUACGAAUAAACGACUAAUUUUUUUCUAAUACUUUCUUUCCUUUUAUAAUGGAAUAAAAGCACCUUGGUAUCCUUGCCCAUCAACUCAUCCCAAAGAACAAACUAUAGGUUGCUUCUUAUAUGUGUUCUCUCUUUUAUUAAAAGAUAAAACACAUUGCACAUCUUAGAAUAUGAAAUGCUAAUAAGUUUUAGGUAAGGGAUAUUGGAAUCAUCUUCAAGCCUAUGAUGUUUUGAAUUUUGAGUCUCACUAAUAAAUAAUUAAGAUAACAAAUUUCCAUGAUCUUAUAACACAAAUCGUAUCAAAUGCUUCUUGAAAUUAAGGAACAAAAAUUGUCUAAGAACUUAUAACAUUACUUAAUUUUAGUUUAAUAAUUAGUUUUUCCAGGAAAUAACUCCACAGAUAGGCAAAGGAUAACUUCUUUCUACAUAUUCAUUCCUUCUACCUUUUGUUUUGCUUCUUCUCCUUAGAGAAUGUAAUGCUCUAUUGAUCUUAUUGAUUGCUUCUACCUUUUGUUUUGCAUAAAAACUGGGGAAAACUACUUUGCUUCUUCUCCUUAGAGAAUGUAAUGCUCUCUUCCACACCUUAUAUAUUGGCUCAUUAAUUAUGGAUGGGAUUGGGAUCAUCUCUCACAAAUCCACAAGUUUUCCCCUUUACUUUCUUUGUUUUCAUCUUGCCCAAUUUUCAGUCGUUAUCCUUCUAUAGAUGGCUGAACAAAUCCCAUUUAGCAUUGCGGAAAACUUAUUAGCAAAGUUGGCCUCAAUUGCUUCUGAAGAAGUUAGUUUGGUGCAUGGCUUCAAAAAGGAUCUUAGGAAGCUUCAAACUACUCUCUCCACCAUCAAAGCAAUACUUGUGGAUGCUGAGGAGAAGCAAGAGGAAAGCCUUGCAGUGAAGGACUGGAUAAGGAGGCUUAGAGAGGUUGUCUAUGAUGCAGAUGACUUGUUUGAUGAUGUAGCAACUGAAGGGUUGAGAAGGAAGGUUGAAGGUGAGGGAAGAAUGGUUAGGAAGGUAUGCGACUUCUUUUCUUCCACAAAUCAAAUUGCAUUUCGUUUCAAGAUGGGUCAUAGUAUUAAAGAUAUUAGAGAGAGGCUAGAUGAAAUCGCCAAAGAAAUAUCUGACUUUGGCUUUAUAAUUAGGAAGGAAGUUGGAGUAUGUAUGGGGAUAAAGAAUAGUUGGAGGGAGACAGACUCCUUUGUAUUGAAAUCAGAAAUUAUAGGAAGAGAUGAAGAUAAGGAGAAGAUCAUAGAAUCAUUGAUGUGUUCAGUCAAUCAAAGCAAUAUUUCUGUAGUUGCAAUUGUAGGGUUUGGUGGCUUAGGAAAGACUGCACUUGCCCAAUUAGUGUUUAAUGAUGAGAAAGUGGUGAAUUAUUUUGAUUUGAAGCUAUGGGUAUGUGUCUCUGAGGAGUCAAAUGUUGAAACACUAGUUAAACUCAUCCUUAAAAGUGCAGGCAAUAAUGAAGUGCCCAACUUGUCUUUGGAACGGUUACAAAUUCGCCUUAGACAAUGUUUAGAAGGCAAAAAGUUCUUGUUGGUGUUGGAUGAUGUGUGGAACGUGAACAAUAGGAUUUGGAGUCAAUUGAGGAGAUAUUUGAUGGUUGGUGCCAUAGGGAGUAGAAUUUUAGUAACUACUCGCAGUAAGAGGGUUGCUUUAGCUAUGGGUGUAGACUCUCCGUAUGCUUUACAGGAUCUAACAGAAGAUCAAUCAUGGGAUCUAUUUGAGAAGCUAGCAUUUAGAGAGGGAACAGGAAGAGUGAAUUCAAAUCUAAUAGAAAUUGGGAAAGAAAUUGCAAAGAAGUGCAGAGGAGUUCCACUUGCAAUUAGAGCUAUAGGAGGCAUAAUGCAACUAAGAAGUAGUGAAAGUGAAUGGUUGUCUGUCCUAGAAAAUGAGUUGUGGAAGGUCUUCGAGAGUGAUGGUGAUAUUAGUCAAGUGUUGAAAUUGAGUUAUGAUGUCUUACCGUACCAUUUAAAGCAGUGUUUUGCAUACUGCGCAAUGUUUCCAAAAGACUAUGAGUUUGGUAAGGAUAGAUUAAUUCAGUUGUGGAUGGCACAAGGCUAUGUUCAGUCUCGGGGUCAAAGUGAAAAUGAAAAUGCAGAGGAGAUUGGGGAAGGAUACUUCAAUGAAUUGUUAUUUAGGUCAUUUUUCCAAAAGUUUAAGUAUUGUUAUAAAAUGCAUGACCUUAUCCAUGACCUUGCACAGUCAAUAGCAGGGGAUAGUUGUUUUGUAGUUAAUGAUAAUACUAAAUAUAUUCCUGAUAGAGUCCAACAUGUGUUUUCUGAAAAUUUGUCUUUUGAGGAAUGCUUCAGGCAGCUAAAAAAUAAAGGAUUGAGGACACUGUAUUGUCCAUAUUUUGGUGAUGGAUUAUGGUUGAAUUUAGAUAGUAUCUUUUCAAAUUGUAGAAGCAUACGUGCUUUGAGUUUUGGAUGGAAUAUCAAUGGAAUGCCAGAUUCAAUUGGAAAGUUGAAAUACCUGAGGUAUCUUGAAUUUUCUAGUUCUAAAAUCAGUUCACUUCCAAACUGCAUUUGCAGCUUGUAUAAUUUGCAAACUCUAAUACUCUGGGAAUGUUGGGGUCUUAAAGAAUUACCUACAGACAUGAGGAAAUUGAUUUGUCUCAGACAACUUAUUAAUAUUGGUUGUAGUAGGCUUGAAUUCAUGCCAUUGGGGUUGGGGAGAUUAACAAAUCUGCAGACUUUGUCAACUUUUGUUGUGGGAAGUGAUCAAGGAAGGAGAUGUUCCUCAUUGAAUGAGUUGAAUAGCUUAAACCGGCUAAGAGGUGAAAUCUCCAUUGAAGGACUAGAAAAUGUGAAAAAUGCAGCUUUGGAGUCCAGCCGAGUAAAUCUCAAGGAAAAGAAACACCUUCUCUGCUUAAGAUUAAGGUGGGAUGGCAGGGGAGAUAGCAAUAGUGGAAAUAGUGAGUUGUUGUUGGAUAACCUACACCCUCACCCGAACUUGAAAGAAUUGAACGUUGUGUGCUAUGAAGGUGUGAGGUUUUCAAAUUGGCUUUCUUCUAUCACAAAUCUCGUCAAUAUUACUUUAUAUAAAUGUCCGAAAUGUGAGCAUUUGCCGCCAUUGGACAAUCUGCCUUAUCUGGAAAUUCUCAAUCUUAGCUAUUUCGAUUCUCUGGAGUACAUAUCCGAUGAAUAUAAUUUAUUCUCUUCUUUAUCUACAUCAGCAGCAACAUUCUUUCCAUCUCUAAAGAUUCUUAAACUCGAUGUUUGCCCUAAUGUGAAAAGGUGGUGGAGAACACGUAUGGAAGCAAAGAUGGUGCCUCAAUUUCCUUGUCUUUCUAAAUUAACCAUCGCGAAUUGCCCUAACCUCACUUUGAUGCCAAUGUUUCCAUCACUAGACAUGGAGCUUCAUCUUUCCUAUGCCCACAUAAGACCAUUGCAUUAUACAUUGCAGAUGUCUGCAACGGCUUCUGCAGUACCAUCAACCUCUUCUUCAGUUACUUCUCCUUUUUCCAAAUUAAAGACUCUGUGGUUACAGGGUAUUGAGAAUCUAGCAUCUCUACCUGGAGAGUGGAUGCAGAACCUCAGCUUCCUUGAGAAACUAUUUCUUAGCUACUGCAUGGAAAUUAGUGAUGAGGAUGAGCGUGGCAUAUUCAAAUGGAGAUAUCUUGUUAGUCUUCGAGAUCUCUCUCUCUAUAAUCUUUCAAAUCUGGUGUCUCUACCAAGGGAGCUUCAAUAUGUUACCACCUUGCAACGUCUCUCUAUCCACGAAUGUUCUAAUUUGAGGGCUUUGCCUAACUGGAUAGGCAACCUCACAGCACUCGAAAAUUUAAAUAUCCACUACUGCUCUAAAUUGAAAUCGCUACCAAGAGGAAUGCGUCAAAUCACCACUUUACACAAGUUGAGUGUUACCCGUUGCCCCCAUUUGUCUGAAAGAUGCGCACAUGAUAUGGCUGCAGAUUGGCCCAACAUUUCUCACAUCCCAAAUAUCCAGAUAAAUGGAAAUGAUAUUCAAAGGGAGGGCCGGUAUUUAUUAUAAGAAGAAGGAUCCUCUGCCUUCACAGGUUAGGACUUUCUUCACUUCAUCCCUUCAUUGUAUUUUAAUAAAAUCACGUAAUUUUUCUAAAUAAAUACUUUUAUCCAUAGGUUAUUCUAUUGUGUCUUCAUUUUAUCUUUCAAAUUUAAUAACUUACAGUUCUGAUUCUAUGUGCAUACCGCGACAGAUGGUCUGCAGGGAAUACUUACAAGACUUUGCUUUUGAAAGAACCUGCUUUGUCAUUGGUCAUUUGGUUGUGCUGGAAAGAAGAAGUUUUAUCUGUUUGAGGAAGGAGCAAAGAUGAUAAAUCUUCAAUGCAGUACCCUUUUCCAUCGUUAAGAAGGUAUGAAAUUUCAACUUUACUGGCAAGCAAUCCAUUCAACUUCAAUACACAAUUAACUUUUAAACUCUCCAGUGUUCUUCUUUUGAUAGUUUGACACUGGAGAUUUAUUUGCUUAAUUCUUUUCAAUUUCUAUGUAAACUCAGUUGAAAGUGAUCAACUGUAACAAGUGCGGUUCUGUAGUAUGAGCAGAUCUGGAAGGAUGUUAAUACAACCCUUGGAACAUUCAUUUGCAAUCAUUAUUCUAUCCUGAUAGUGAAUUUUCUGAAUUUUCUGAUUCGGUCUCUCCUGAAUUAUUUGAGAAUAAGAUAGUGGAAGCCAUGAAUUCCCAGAUUCUUUGAGAACAAGAUGGAUGCCAAAUGUCUUAAAGAAGGAGCAGAGGGGAUAUGAAUUCACUGGAUCUUCUUUCAGAUAGGCAGCUUUUGGCUCAGCCGUGAAGGAUUGCUCUGAAUUGGAAGCUGUAAUACUUUGAUGUCUUUACCUCUGAUUUGGAGAAUCAGUGGUGAGUAACAUCAAUCAAAGUGGGAGUAGUCUAGUUUACAUUGUUAAGGAAGUGAAUUUCCUGGUCCUUUUAUAAAAUUUUUCAAGUCUUCUCCUUCCAGGAAUUAUUCGGAGCACUUUUGGGCUAGAAUGGCAAAUGAUUGUCUCUGAAUUCUUACAAUUUCAUCACUUGCUGCUCUUGCUGAAGUUACACAUACACAACAUCAUGAAAAAUGGAUCAGAGGGUUCAAUUAUGAGGGAAUUUCGUUGAGAAGUGGAUUAAUUGUAAAUACUGCAAAAAGCCGACAUUUUAAUUAAUUCAGCAACUUGUUCAUUUGCUAUCUUGACUGUAUGGNNNNNNNNNNNNNNNNNNNNNNNNNNNNNNNNNNNNNNNNNNNNNNNNNNNNNNNNNNNNNNNNNNNNNNNNNNNNNNNNNNNNNNNNNNNNNNNNNNNNNNNNNNNNNNNNNNNNNNNNNNNNNNNNNNNNNNNNNNNNNNNNNNNNNNNNNNNNNNNNNNNNNNNNNNNNNNNNNNNNNNNNNNNNNNNNNNNNNNNNNNNNNNNNNNNNNNNNNNNNNNNNNNNNNNNNNNNNNNNNNNNNNNNNNNNNNNNNNNNNNNNNNNNNNNNNNNNNNNNNNNNNNNNNNNNNNNNNNNNNNNNNNNNNNNNNNNNNNNNNNNNNNNNNNNNNNNNNNNNNNNNNNNNNNNNNNNNNNNNNNNNNNNNNNNNNNNNNNNNNNNNNNNNNNNNNNNNNNNNNNNNNNNNNNNNNNNNNNNNNNNNNNNNNNNNNNNNNNNNNNNNNNNNNNNNNNNNNNNNNNNNNNNNNNNNNNNNNNNNNNNNNNNNNNNNNNNNNNNNNNNNNNNNNNNNNNNNNNNNNNNNNNNNNNNNNNNNNNNNNNNNNNNNNNNNNNNNNNNNNNNNNNNNNNNNNNNNNNNNNNNNNNNNNNNNNNNNNNNNNNNNNNNNNNNNNNNNNNNNNNNNNNNNNNNNNNNNNNNNNNNNNNNNNNNNNNNNNNNNNNNNNNNNNNNNNNNNNNNNNNNNNNNNNNNNNNNNNNNNNNNNNNNNNNNNNNNNNNNNNNNNNNNNNNNNNNNNNNNNNNNNNNNNNNNNNNNNNNNNNNNNNNNNNNNNNNNNNNNNNNNNNNNNNNNNNNNNNNNNNNNNNNNNNNNNNNNNNNNNNNNNNNNNNNNNNNNNNNNNNNNNNNNNNNNNNNNNNNNNNNNNNNNNNNNNNNNNNNNNNNNNNNNNNNNNNNNNNNNNNNNNNNNNNNNNNNNNNNNNNNNNNNNNNNNNNNNNNNNNNNNNNNNNNNNNNNNNNNNNNNNNNNNNNNNNNNNNNNNNNNNNNNNNNNNNNNNNNNNNNNNNNNNNNNNNNNNNNNNNNNNNNNNNNNNNNNNNNNNNNNNNNNNNNNNNNNNNNNNNNNNNNNNNNNNNNNNNNNNNNNNNNNNNNNNNNNNNNNNNNNNNNNNNNNNNNNNNNNNNNNNNNNNNNNNNNNNNNNNNNNNNNNNNNNNNNNNNNNNNNNNNNNNNNNNNNNNNNNNNNNNNNNNNNNNNNNNNNNNNNNNNNNNNNNNNNNNNNNNNNNNNNNNNNNNNNNNNNNNNNNNNNNNNNNNNNNNNNNNNNNNNNNNNNNNNNNNNNNNNNNNNNNNNNNNNNNNNNNNNNNNNNNNNNNNNNNNNNNNNNNNNNNNNNNNNNNNNNNNNNNNNNNNNNNNNNNNNNNNNNNNNNNNNNNNNNNNNNNNNNNNNNNNNNNNNNNNNNNNNNNNNNNNNNNNNNNNNNNNNNNNNNNNNNNNNNNNNNNNNNNNNNNNNNNNNNNNNNNNNNNNNNNNNNNNNNNNNNNNNNNNNNNNNNNNNNNNNNNNNNNNNNNNNNNNNNNNNNNNNNNNNNNNNNNNNNNNNNNNNNNNNNNNNNNNNNNNNNNNNNNNNNNNNNNNNNNNNNNNNNNNNNNNNNNNNNNNNNNNNNNNNNNNNNNNNNNNNNNNNNNNNNNNNNNNNNNNNNNNNNNNNNNNNNNNNNNNNNNNNNNNNNNNNNNNNNNNNNNNNNNNNNNNNNNNNNNNNNNNNNNNNNNNNNNAGGGAAUAGAAGCAAAUGAUGUUGGUAGCACAACAGAUGGUCUGCAGGGAAUACUUACAAGACUUUGCUUCUGAAAGAACCUGCUUUGUCAUUGGUCAUUUGGUUGUGCUGGAAAGAAUAAUUUUUUACGUGUUUGAGGAAGGAGCAAAGAUGAUAAAUCUUCAAUGCAGUACCCAUUUCCAUCAUUAAAAAGGUAUGAAAUUUUAGAUAUGAAAUUUUUAACUCUUGCAUGCAAAAAUAUUUAAAUUUCAACUUUACUGGCAAGCAAUCCAUUCAACUUCAAUACACAAUUAACUUUUAAACUCUCCAGUGUUCUUCUUUUGAUAGUUUGACACUGGAGAUUUAUUUGCUUAAUUCUUUUCAAUUUCUAUGUAAACUCAGUUGAAAGUGAUCAACUGUAACAAGUGCGGUUCUGUAAUAUGAGCAGAUCUGGAAGGAUGUUAAUACAACCCUUGGAACAUUCAUUUGCAAUCUUUAUUCUAUCCUGAUAGUGAAUUUUCUGAAUUUAAUUGCAAUAUGUUCCAUUUGUUAAUCCUUGCAGGCUACACAUCCUGCAAGUCAUUUUAAACAAAGGUUUGAGAUCAUUUUUAAUUUGUUGUUUUAUAAUAAUUUGUAAAUUUUCAAAGGUAUAAAAGCAUUUUCUGAUUUGGUCUCUCCUGAAUUAUUUGAGAAUAAGAUAGUAGAAGCCAUGAAUUCCCAGAUUCUUUGAGAAUAAGAUGGAUGCCAAUGUCUUAAAGAAGGAGCAGAGGGGAUAUGAAUUCACUGGAUCUUCUUCAGAUAGGCAGCUUUUGGCUCAGCCGUGAAGGUUUGCUCUGAAUUGGAAGCUGUAAUACUUUGAUGUCUUUACCUCUGAUUUGGAGAAUCAGUGGUGAGUAACAUCAAUCAAAGUGGUAGUAGUCUAGUUUACAUUGUUAAGGAAGUGAAUUUCCUGGUCCUUUUAUAAAAUUCUUCGAGUCUUCUCCUUCCAGGAACUAUUCGGAGCACUUUUGGACCAGGAUGGCAAAUGAUUGACCCUGAAUUCUUACAAUUUCAUCACUUGCUGCUCUUGCUGAAGUUAUACAUGCACAACAUCAUGAAAAAGGGAUCGGAGGGUUCAAUUACGAGGGAAUUUCGUUGAGAAGUGGAUUAGUUGUAAAUACUGCAAAAAGCCAACAUUUUAAUUAAUUCAGCAACUUGUUCAUUUGCUAUCUCGACUGUAUGGCUUGAAUUUUAGAAUUUUUCAUAGACCGAAUCGUGUAGUUCCAUACUGCAAGCCGAAUUAGCAAAUAGAAUAUAAGGUUUCUAGAAAACACAUUGAAAUUAAAGUUAGAAUCGUUUUAAAUUUAGGAUAAAUUAUAUUUUAGUUUCUGAAUUUUAGUAUAAUUAACUAUCAGUUUUAUUACUUUUAGAACCGAAGGUUUAAAUGUCUGUAUUUUUAUUCCGUCCAUAUUAACACACUCACUCCCUCCGCAUUUCAUCUUUGAUCUUUUUUCUUUCUGCUGCUUCACAUUUUUUUUCUCUAAGUAUCAUGGAUCUUCCCAUUUAUGGCAUCUCCAACAUCUUCAUUCUCUGCCUCUACCUUUUUAAUACCCAUUUGAUGCAAGAUUCUUCAAAUCAAGUUUUGGCUUUUAAGUCAUCUUCUUUAGUAGAUGCAUCUUAAAUUGCAACAGUAUAUCUUCUCAAUCUGCCUUAUCUGGAAACUCUCAAUCUUAGCUAUUUCGAUUCUCUGGAGUACAUAUCAGAUGAAGAUAAUUUAUUCUCUUCUUUAUCUGCAUCAACAGCAACAUUCUUUCCAUCCCUAAAGGUUCUUAAUCUCAAAGUUUGCCCUAAUGUGAAAGGGUGGUGGAGAACAUGUAUGGAAGCAAAGAUGGUGCCUCAAUUUCCUUGUCUUUCUAAAUUAACCAUCGCGAAUUGCUGUAACCCGACUUUGAUGCCAAUGUUUCCAUCACUAGACACGGAGCUUCUCUUUCUUUAUUUUUCGAUGAAAAAUUAAAUUUUCAACUAGAAAACAAAAAUUUUAAAUUGAAUGUUAUUUGUCUAUUAGCAGAUAACAGGGACCCACAAGGGAGGCAGUGAGAUAAAGGUCAAAAAAGGCACGUGUGAACAGACUGGCAUGUAGAGGAUGUAGAUGAAGACACGUAGAGAGUGGAGGCUGAUCUUAACAACAGCUGGACAAAAGAAAACACGUGGCUCUAGACCAUUUUAACUUUUCUUUUUUGGGCCACCUUUUCUCUCUUAUAGUUUAUUUGAAUUUUCUGAGCAAUAACAUGGCAGGAAACAGUGAGCCUCUCUAGUGAUAUAACUGCUGCUAUUCUGAAUUUUUUUUUUUUGUUAGGGAUUGGAGAUUGAGAUUUGAAUAAAGUAAAGAAAGAAGACAUUGGAGAAGUGUGUUGAUGGGUACAGAGUAAACAGUGACAUUGCCAGCAUGGAUGCUGAAUGGUGAAUAUAAUAGGAGCUGGUCAGUUAGCUCAGUGAUCUGGAUAGGCCAUUUUAUUGAUUAUUUAAGCUUCUUUUUAGUACUAUUUAUGAAAAAUUAAUGCCCAUUAUCAAUUCUUUUCACUGGAUCGCUUGCACGUAGCCGACGUCUGCUUUUGGGCUUUGGCUCCAAUGAAGCAAAGCUAGCACAAGAAUUCCUAUACAAUUAAGAGCAAAACAUGCUGCUCUUUUUUCCACAAGCCCUCCAAUCCAUACCUUGAUUUUCUCGCAUCUGCUUUUUGUGGAAGAUUGGAUAAGUUCCAAUCCAAACAUAACCUUGCUUAAAUAAAUAUUUUGUUUAACAAUGCAAAUGGAUAUCGCAGGUAACAUGGCUAAAGAGUCGGUAAAACUACAAUUUAGUCCAAUUUCAACACAGAAUAUAUAGCUUACAACUUAUCCAAAAUUCAUGACUUAUUCAAUUUUCAAAUCAAUCUAAUACACCAAACUUAGUUAUUGUCGUGCGAAAAAUUAUAGUCAAAUAAAAAGAAAAACAAUCGAAUAAUAAUUAAAUCUGACACUACGAUAGCAAUAGAAAAAUAAUAAGAGAUAUAAUUAUAAGUAUGGGAUAGGUUCCUGCUAAUACUAAAUUUAAAAAAAUAUAGUUGAUCGCUGGAUUUCAGUUAUCUGAAUAAAAUCACGCUCAACAAAACAGAGUUAGUCUAAAACUCGUGAAUUUCCUCAGACUGACCAAUCCAACAUCUCAUGCUCUGAUCCAGACACGUGAGAUAGGUCGGAUCAUUCUUGAUUUCGGAUCCAAUAGAAAAAAAUUUAGUCCGGUAAUGUGACAUAAAGAGAGAUAGCAGACCCAGUCACUUCUUAACCCUGUCUGCAUACUCGUUGGGAGAAUUAAAUGACAACCUGGUGUGGAGAAGGGAUCUAACAUGUCUGUACGUACAGGUUUGAACGACAAAAAUAAAUGGCGCUGUAAUAGAAAAGUCGUUAGACAUCACUAGCAAAUAAAAGGGAAAUGGAUCUCAUAUGAAUAAAAGGAAAAAAAUGAUUAUGCCCACUAAGCACAACUAUUACAUAUUUAAGGAUUAAGUACUAUGAUUAUCCCCAUAAAUCACAGCUGCUUCAUUGUAUCUUUUUUUAGAGUAGAACUAAUUUCUUGAUUUUUUAAAAAAAUUACAGUAACUAAAUAAAUGGCUUUUAAAAUUAAAAAAAAAAACUAAUAUAUAACUUUUAUUAAAAUAUAAGGAGUAAAUUGUAAUUUACUUGUAAGUUUAAUAUGGGCGCAAUUGGCAGCUCAGUACCAUGUUUCUACCCUACCUCUUUGGAUUUGUGUUGUGAAAUGUAAGAUUAUUUUAAACUUUGGUAGGCUGGCAGUAGCCAAUCAGCUAUGAAACCUUCCCUCAAGAAAUUCAUCAAAGUUCACAUCUUUUGCUUUAUGAUUGUCUCUUUGAUUUUGAAGCCCUUUCCCCCUUUCUGAGUAGAAAAUGCAUGGCAACACAUGUUUGAGGAUGAGUUGGCAAGACAGAUAAGCACACCAUUUAAAGUCUGGAGGUAAAAGAUAUCCUCUAAUAAAUGAGUUGACAAAAUAUAUUAAUUUUUUUUUAAUAAUUACGGUUCAAUUUCUCUCAAUUUCUUUAAAUAUUUAUUAAUAAAAAAAUAAAAAAAUUUCCACAAAAUGGAUAUAAAUUUUUUUAAUCAUAGAAAAUAUAUUUUUAAAGAAAAUAAUUUAUUUUUAUAAUGUUAAAAAAUAAAGGACAUUAAUAUGAUUUUUAAAAAUCUAUAAAUGAUAUUGUUUUUUAAAAAGUGAAAUUUUUUCUUUAAAAAUGAUUUAGAUUUUUUAUUAAAAAAAUAUUUUUUAUUAAUUAUUGAGUCUUCAAAUGCUAAAAAAUGCAAAAAAAACAUUUUAUUAGAAAAAUAUUUUUUAAAAAACAAAUGAGCUUCAAUUUGGUAUAUGUUAGAGCUGCUAUAUUAAAAAGGUAGCUCGUUAAAUAUGUUGGUUAGGAUUUUUUUUUUUUAAAUGGAAAUUAAAGAUUAGAGAAAUAAAAUUUGAGAUUUCUCAUAGUUAUUCAGAUGUAUUUAUCGUCAGACUAAAUCUGUGAGUGCUAUUAAUAAGAAAUUAUUAAAAAUUAUUUAUUAAGUUAAUUUAAUAUAUUCUAAUCAUCAAAAUUUCAUAAUAAUUAAAUAAAGUUUCAAACUACAUUCUUUAAAAAUAUCUAAAAUAGUGAAUAUAUAGUAAAUUUGGAAAAUGAGAUUUCAAUCACAAUCCUAAAUAUUUUCCAGGUUUAAAUCACAAUCCUAGAUGUAUUUGCCUCUAAUAAUAGUGAUGUUAUACACCAAUAGCGAAAAGUUAGUUAGAUGUCACAGUAAAAUAAUACCACUUGAUAAGAGUAUAAUAACUUAAUAUAUAGUUUCACCCAUAAAACUCGAACAUUAUAAUCAUUCAAUUCUUCGUAAAAGACUUCACCUUUCUCUCAAUAAGUCUGAGUCUUUCUAUAAAAUUAUUGUUAACAUAUACAAUUGAGCAAAUUCUCAUAAUGCUCGUAAUCACGGAAUCAUUAAUCAAUGAGUUGAGGAGAUCUCUUAUCAAUGAGUUGGGUGUAUCAUUGUUAGAUUUUUAAAAAAUAUUAUAAUUAACUAUAUUUUCUUAUAUCACAUAAAUAAAAAUAUUUAAUUAUAAUUAACUAUAUUUUCUCAUAAUAUAUCAAUUAAUGAUCCCAGAAAUAAAAAUAUUUAAUUUUUAUAUAAUUACUCUUGAAUUGUAAGUAAUUUCUUAUACUCACCCUAUUCUCCAAAUUUACUGAUUUAGUAAUUAUCGUAGACACCUACAUUAUUUUUUUUGUAAAUUUAAUUAAUUACAGCACGACUCUAUUUUUCGAUUAUAUCAAAGGACCUAUUUUGUUUAUUAAAAAAAUUAUGAAAUACAGUUUAAUUUUUUUUAGCAAAAAUGUUUAAAAGUAAAUUAUAUUUUGAUCAUUGAAUUUUAGCAUAAUUAACAGAUCGAUUCUUAUAUUUUUAAAACUGAACACUUAAAUUUUUUUAUAAUUAGUCUGUCUAAAUUAGAGGUCUCUCUGUUCAUUUUUUCAGAUAAAAGUGUGAAAAUGUUUUUAUUACUCUCUUUAAAUUGAUAAACUACACUUGAGUUCUUAAAUUUUAGUAAAAUUAAUGAAUCGGUUCCUAUAUUUUAAAAAUUGUACACAUUAAAUCCCUCUAUGAUCAGGUUAUCCUCCUCUAUUAUAAUUUAAACAUUUUGAUCCUUUAUUUUUAUUUGAAAUAACACUUAAGUCCCUAUACUUUUGUCUAUAAUAUCCUAUUUAACUAAUUUUUAGCAUUUUUAUUCUUCAAUUUCCAUUCAUUAAAAUAUUUUAAUAUUUAUAAUUUCAAAACUUUUAAAAAAUUCCUACAAUUUCAGCUAUUUUAAGUAGUACCGAAUAACUUUUAAAUAGAUUGUAAAAUUUUAUAAAAAAUAUUUUAGAAAGAAAUUAUACUUUCAGAAAAAAUUUGACCAUCCACUAAUUUUGAACUAAUAUUAAUAAUGGAUGAAAAAACUGUAAUUUUAGACGAAUUAAAUAUAGAGAGAUUUAAAAAUUUAGUUUAAAAAUUAUAAGUACUGAUUUAUUAAUUAUACUAAAAUUUAGAAAUCAAAAUAUAGUUAUACAAUAUAAAAUUAUCAACUAUGUUUGAUUCAAAAAAAAAAUUAUCAACUAUAUUGAAAAAGAUUUAAGUAUUUAUAAAAACAUUUUAGAUACUUGAAAUAUUAUUCUCCCUUUAAUUAAUUGGCUAAUGAAAUUAUAAAUGAAAAAAUAUAUAAUUUAGACAGAAUAAUUAUAUAAAAAUUUAAAUGUUUGAUUUUAAAAUAUAUGAAUUGAUCUAUUAAUUAUAUUAAAAUUUAAGGAUUAAAGUGUAAUUUUUCUAAAAUUUAAAUUAAAAUAUGUUGCUUUUAGGUAGUAGGCGGUGAUGGCGCGGACUUGCUUUGGAGCUCCGUUUGGGGCCGCUAUUUUGUCUGAAUGGCUUAGGUAUGUGGCUACUGGCCUGUCCAAUUCCCUAUCUAACAUAAAUUAAAUAGUAAUAGUAAUUUUUCUCCCAUAUUCAAAAAUUGAAUGUAUAUGAGUAAAAUCCCCGAUAAAAAUAAUUCUAUCCACAUUCGAUUAAUAUUAUUAUUUGAAUUUAAUUAAUAUUAUUAAUAUUUAAAUUUUCAGUUCCACUUACUUUCGAUGCAAAAUUUUCAUUGUGACUCGAUACUCUCACCUUUUACUCUUCCUUAAAUCUAACUUUUUUUUCCUUCUCCAUGUAAGACGAUCUGUGUCAAUUGAUUACCGAUGAAAAAGAAGAUAUUGUGUCCCUAUUAAGAGUUUUAAAGAUAUUCCGAUCGUCACUUAUGAUUUCUGUAUAGUGGAGAUAUUUCUCACAUACAAUCUAAUAUAUUUUAUUUUUUAUAGAAAUAAAAAUUUUUAAUUCUUAUAUGGAAUUUUUUCGUAACUUUUUACAUUUUAAUGGUUGCUUUUCAGUCAAUAGAUAAGAUUUGAAAGAGGUCUUUCGUUAAUGUGAAAGAGUCAUGUGUCUGUUUCUGUGGUUGACUUUUCUUCGAAUUUUAUUGAUUCAGUCGUUUUAGAAGGUAAUGUUAAAUGGAGAUUUACUAGUUAUUAUGGGUUUUUGGAAUCGCAGCGACGACGUCAGUCUUGGAAUCUUAUUCGACCUUUAUCUCGUAAAAACUUUUUUCCGUGACUUUAUUCGGAAGAUUUUAAUGAUUUAUAUUCGAGAGAUGAGAAAGAAAGAUGAGCAUUUUUAUCAAAUUAUCAUAUAUGCAGGGGUUUAGACAUAUAUUUUGAAGAGAAUCUUUGCCAAAUUAUCUUAUACAGAGAUUUGAUUUUAAAUGAUUGUAAAUAUUUGUUAACUCUAUAACUGAUAUUUCUGUUAAAUCGAUUCGUCGUAAUACUACUCUAUCUGCUCAUAGUUUGGCUAGAGAAUCUAUUAAGUAUAAUCGUAUCUCUGUUUGGGAUGAUAUCUCUUUCUAUUUGAUGGAAUUUUAUUAAUACCAUCAGUAGUUUUACUUUUUAAAAAAAAAUUAAAUUUAUUAUUUAAUAAAAAAUUAUUCUAAAUUAUUUAAAUUUAUUAUAAAUUUAAUUAUAAUUAUUUAAAUAAAAUCUCAUUUCAUUUAAAUUUAUGUAUUUUAAUUAAUAAUUUAUAUAAAAAUAUUUUUCAUUGAAAAAUUUAAUAAUUUUUUAAAAAUUAAUUUUUAAAUAAAAAUAUUUAACAAAUUUUAUAAAUAUUAUUAUAAAAUAUAUAUUUUAUAUUAAAUUAAUUAUUUAUAUAAAUAAUUUCAAAUGAUUAAUACUCGAUAUAUAAAAAUAUUCGAUUUAAAAUUAUCACAUAUGAAUUUAUAUAUAACUUAAUUAUAACAAUUCAAAUCUAAUUUAUUAAGAUAUUUUUAAAUUAAAUAUUUAAAAAUAUCCAAUUCAUUAUAAUUCUUAUUUAAUAAGAUAAAAAAUGAUUGCAUAAAAUUUUUAUUUUUUCAUUUCACAAAAAUCAAGUAAGAUUAGCGAACUAAUAAUGAGAGGUAGUUUUUUUUUUAUUAUUAUAAAUAUUAAUAUUUCAAAAUAAGUAAAUAUAUAAACACAAAUUUAAGGUUUUAGGCUAAAAAAAAUUAAUCAAACUACUCAAACUAGCUAUUAUAUAAAAAUUUUAAACCAUAAAAAGAACGGUUUAAUUAUAAAUAUUAUUGAUUUACUCUUGAAAGUCACAAAUAAACUAAUAUUUUAUAUUAAAUUAAUUAUUUAUAUAAAUUUAAUUUGUAUGUUUCAGUUAAACUAUAUUUAUUGAAAUAUUCAAUUUAGGGAUUGCUCAAUUUAUAUAUAUAAUUUAUUAAUUUUUAAUAUGAAUUGAAAAAAUUUUAAUUUUUUAUACUUAAGAAAACUUUAUUUUAAAAAAUAAAAUUUAUUCGCAUAAUGCAUCAUUUCAAACACAGAACAGAUAUGAAUCAUGCUACACGCGUCUUCCUAGGGAAUUACUUCAAUAAUAGGCAAAGCAUAACUUCUUGUAUAUAUAAUUCAUUACUUCUACCUUAAGGAAUCAAAAUACUUUGCUUUUUCUUCUUGGAGAAUGUAAUGCUUUCUUCCACACCUUAUGUAUAUUGGCUCGUUAGUUAUGGACUGCAUCAUCUCUCACAAAUCCUGAAAUUUUCCUUUAAUUUCUUCAUUUUCAUCUUGCCCAUUUUCAGUUUUUUUCUUUCUAUCGAUGGCUGAACAAAUCCCAUUUAGCAUUGCAGAAAACUUACUAACAAAGUUGGCCUCAAUUGCUUCUGAAGAAGUUAGUUUGGUGCAUGGCUUCAAAAAGGAUAUUAGAAAGCUUCAAACUACUCUCUCCACCAUCAAAGCAAUACUUGUGGAUGCUGAGGAGAAGCAAGAGGAGAGCCUUGCAGUGAAGAACUGGGUAAGGAGGCUUAGAGAGGUUGUCUAUGAUGCAGAUGACUUGUUUGAUGAUGUAGCAACUGAAGGUUUGAGAAGGAAGGUUGAAGGUGAGGGAAGAAUGGUUAAGGUAUGCGACUUCUUUUCUUCCUCAAAUCAAAUUGCAUUUCGUUUCAAGAUGGGUCAUAGUAUUAAAGAUAUUAGAGAGAGGCUGGAUGAAAUCGCCAAAGAAAUGUCUGACUUUGGCUUUAUAAUUAGGAAGGAAGCUGGAGUAUGUAUGGGAAUAAAGAAUAGUUGGAGGGAGACAGACUCCUUUGUAUUGAAAUCAGAAAUUAUAGGAAGAGAUGAAGAUAAGGAGAAGGUCAUAGAAUCAUUGAUGUGUCCAGUCAAUCAAAGCAAUAUUUCUGUAGUUGCAAUUGUAGGGUUUGGUGGCUUAGGAAAGACUGCACUUGCCCAAUUAGUGUUUAAUGAUGAAAAAGUGGUGAAUUAUUUUGAUUUGAAGUUAUGGGUAUGUGUUUCUGAGGAGUCAAAUGUUGAAACACUAGUUAAGCUCAUCCUUAAAAGUGCAGGCAAUAAUGAAGUUGACAACUUGUCUUUGGAACAGUUACAGAUUCGCCUUAGACAAUGUUUAGAAGGCAAAAAGUACUGGUUGGUGUUGGAUGAUGUGUGGAAUGUGAACAAUAGGAUUUGGAGUCAAUUGAGGAAAUAUUUAAUGGUUGGUGCCAUAGGGAGU
rnacentral:lncRNA from 1 species